rnacentral:rRNA from 1 species
GAUGAACGCUGGCGGCGUGCCUAAUACAUGCAAGUCGAGCGAACGGACGAGAAGCUUGCUUCUCUGAUGUUAGCGGCGGACGGGUGAGUAACACGUGGAUAACCUACCUAUAAGACUGGGAUAACUUCGGGAAACCGGAGCUAAUACCGGAUAAUAUUUUGAACCGCAUGGUUCAAAAGUGAAAGACGGUCUUGCUGUCACUUAUAGAUGGAUCCGCGCUGCAUUAGCUAGUUGGUAAGGUAACGGCUUACCAAGGCAACGAUGCAUAGCCGACCUGAGAGGCGGAUCGCCCACCCGGGAGCUUGACCACGGACCAGACUCCUGCGGGAGGCAGCAGUAGCGUAUCUGACGCAAUGGUCGAAAACCUGACGGAGCAACGCCGCGUGAGUUACGAAGGUCUUCGGAUCGUAAAACUCUGUUAUUAGUUAAGAACAUAUUUGUAAGGUACUGUGCACAUCUUGACGGUACCUAAUCAGAAAGCCCCGGCUAACUACGUG